UAAAAAUACAAUAAAACUAAAAAAAAUCCCACUUGAAGGUGAUGUCAGCAAAAACUAAAAAAUAUGAAAAUUUACAUACAAAAUUAAUGCCAGAUUCAACCUUUAUAUAUCCCUAUUUUUUUGUUAAUGAUAAACUACAGUUUCUUUCCCUCCACAAACAUCCAUGAAAACUUGUCCCAUGUAGAGUAUCUCAUGUGUCCCACGCAGAAUAUGUGCAUGAAGCUAAAAAUGACUCACAUGAAAUAUUCAGUCCAAUAUUCAGUGUUGUAAGUGCUUUGGCAUCGUUUAUGCAUGAGUGGUUGCACACGUCACGGCAUGUACAUCUCACCAUGCGGAGGUUGGCCCGCCAUCAGGUCAAAGAGUCGCCUUGCUGAUGAAAGUACAAUAUGCGUGCCUUGCCCCCGUGCAUGUCGCUGCCAGGAAGUCAAUGCUCCUGUUUAGUGCGUGCUCAUUCAUUCAAGUCCAUACUCAAUGGUGGCAAAGCAUAAAGCCGGUGGCGUCCUCCGUCACCUCAGGGAAGAGGCAGCCCCGGUGCCUGGAUCAUGACUUAGUCACGCUUUUUGGGACGGCUGCCAUGCAAACCUGGCAAGGACUCCGAAAAAUCCCAGGAAGGAAGGAUGAUUCCAAACUUCCUUCAACAGUCGUGACGCUUUUAAGACAAAAGGUUAUCGGCGACCAUCUUUUUCUGCAUAGGUCAGAGCUUGCAGGCCAGCAUAAGUACUACAUCUUCCUAAUGCUAACUUUACCACCCACACAGGUGACGGGGAUUAACAGCAAAAUUACCCACUGAGAUGACGAGCCCACUGCAGAAUAAGUAUUUACCGGUGACCAGCGGGGAUGAAGAUUUCAUGGAUUCUGAUGAUGUGACAAAAGGAAUGAUUGUAUUUUUUUUGUUCUUGUGUCCUUAAAACAGUCACAUCUUCUUCAGGGGCGAUGCUGGCGGUGCUGCCGUCACUGGCAGCUGAUGCUGGGCACAUGUUGACCCAAGAAGCCCGGGCAUGGAGCUCCACUCGGGAUGGGACGACGAUGACAAUGAGGGUGAGGAAGGAGGAGUGCAGCUCCACAUAAACCUAAACACACGGAGAGACCAUCUGCGCAUCAUCUCCAACAAAGCAGCCCUGCAGCCAGACACAUCCUGCAGGUUCCAGGUGGGCACGGCGGGAAGUGGAGCGCCGUGGCGCGGGUAAGUAAACACGCCGAGAGAGAGAGAGAGAGAGAGAGAGAGAGAGAGAGAGAGCGAUGAGCGCUUCAGGGGAUGCUCGGAAACGACAAAGACGGCCCGCGGGUUGUGUCCAUGGCAGCCAAGUGACGCCGGGAAGGCAGACAAAGAGGAGGACAUGUGCGCGCCGCCGUGGCAGCAACGAGUGAUGUGCGGAUCGAUACGGAAAUGUCGGCACCACCGAUACCAGAUUGUCAUGCCCCAAUUUUCACAUCAAAAUAUCGAUACCUUAAUUGAGACCAUGAACAUGAGCACAGUGCAAAGUAAAUAAGUCGUUGAUAUCUUGACUAAACGAAACACUUGAGUGAGAACUACUUUUUCUUCCGCAGUCAUUCAGUCUGUCAUUUGUUUAUUGAAGGCCAUUACUGGCAAUUAAAAUUAGUCACCUGGUAUUUGAAAACUAUAUGAGAGCCCGUUUCUGCCACUCACAAAUACCCCAAUGGCAAGUCGUAAUUAUGAGAUUAAAUGUCGAAAUUAUGAGGAAAAAGUCAUGGAAAGUCAGUGGCGGUCCGUGCGUUUCCCACCUAGGCCUUCAGUGACGUCCGACUUCAAUGAUUACCUCUCAAAAUACCAUCAUUUAUGUCACCACAUGACCAUUGCUGGAGAAAUACUACCGUAUUUUCCGGAGUAUAAGUCGACCCGGACAAAAAUGCAUAAUACAGAAGGAAAAAAACAUAUAUAAGUCGCACUGGAGUAUAAAUCGC